UACGGAGGCAGCAGUGGGGAAUAUUGCACAAUGGGCGAAAGCCUGAUGCAGCUAUGCCGCGUGUAUGAAGAAGGCCUUAGGGUUGUAAAGUACUUUCAUCGGGGAGGAAAAACAAAACUAAUAAUUUUAUUUCUUGACGUUACCCGAAAAAGAAGCACCGGCUAACUCCGUGCCAGCAGCCGCGGUAAUACGGAGGGUGCUAGCGUUAAUCAGAAUUACUGGGCGUAAAGAGCACGUAGGUGGUUUUUUUAAGUCAGAUGUGAAAUCCCUGGGCUUAACCUAGGAACUGCAUUUUGAAACUGAAAUACUAGAGUAUCGUAGAGGGAGGUAGAAUUCUAGGUGUAGCGGUGAAAUGCGUAGAUAUCUGGAGGAAUACCUGUGGCGAAAGCGGCCUCCUAAACGAAUACUGACACUGAGGUGCGAAAGCGUGGGGAGCAAACAGGAUUAGAUACCCGU
rnacentral:rRNA from 1 species